CCUACGGGAGGCAGCAGUAGGGAAUAUUGCUCAAUGGGGGAAACUCUGAAGCAGCAACGCCGCGUGCAGGAUGAAGGUUUUCUGAUUGUAAACUCCUUUUGGUAGAGAAGAUAAUGACGGUAUCUAACUAAUACUCACCGGCUAACUCCGUUCCAGCAGCCGCGGUAAUACGGAGGGUGCAAGCGUUACUCGGAAUCACUGGGCGUAAAGGGCGCGUAGGCGGGAUAGCAAGUCAGAGGUGAAAUCCUAUGGCUUAACCAUAGAACUGCAUUUGAAACUGUUAGGCUAGAGUGUGGUAGAGGUAGGUGGAAUUCAUGGUGUAGGGGUAAAAUCCGUAGAGAUCA
rnacentral:rRNA from 1 species